rnacentral:rRNA from 1 species
CGUAUCACUUAAAACGAUUCAGAAGCUUACGAUUGACGGAGCGAAGCGACGUCAAAGCGUAUACAAAGUCGAGUCGGUUUAAGGAUACGUUCGUUGGGUAGGGGAGCGUUCUGUAAGCCGUUGAAGGUGUGUCGUGAGGCAUGCUGGAGGUAUCAGAAGUGCGAAUGCUGACAUAAGUAACGAUAAAGCGGGUGAAAAGCCCGCUCGCCGGAAGACCAAGGGUUCCUGUCCAACGUUAAUCGGGGCAGGGUGAGUCGACCCCUAAGGCGAGGCCGAAAGGCGUAGUCGAUGGGAAACGGGUUAAUAUUCCCGUACUUGGUGUUACUGCGAAGGGGGGACGGAGAAGGCUAUGUUGGCCGGGCGACGGUAGUCCCGGUUUAAGCGUGUAGGCUGGUUUUCCAGGCAAAUCCGGAAAAUCAAGGCUGAGGCGUGAUGACGAGGCACCACGGUGCUGAAGCAACAAAUGCCCUGCUUCCAGGAAAAGCCUCUAAGCAUCAGGUAACAUCAAAUCGUACCCCAAACCGACACAGGUGGUCAGGUAGAGAAUACCAAGGCGCUUGAGAGAACUCGGGUGAAGGAACUAGGCAAAAUGGUGCCGUAACUUCGGGAGAAGGCACGCUGACACGUAGGUGAAGUGAUUUACUCAUGGAGCUGAAGUCAGUCGAAGAUACCAGCUGGCUGCAACUGUUUAUUAAAAACACAGCACUGUGCAAACACGAAAGUGGACGUAUACGGUGUGACGCCUGCCCGGUGCCGGAAGGUUAAUUGAUGGGGUCAGCGCAAGCGAAGCUCCUGAUCGAAGCCCCGGUAAACGGCGGCCGUAACUAUAACGGUCCUAAGGUAGCGAAAUUCCUUGUCGGGUAAGUUCCGACCUGCACGAAUGGCGUAAUGAUGGCCAGGCUGUCUCCACCCGAGACUCAGUGAAAUUGAACUCGCUGUGAAGAUGCAGUGUACCCGCGGCAAGACGGAAAGACCCCGUGAACCUUUACUAUAGCUUGACACUGAACAUUGAGCCUUGAUGUGUAGGAUAGGUGGGAGGCUUUGAAGCGUGGACGCCAGUCUGCGUGGAGCCGACCUUGAAAUACCACCCUUUAAUGUUUGAUGUUCUAACGUGGACCCGUAAUCCGGGUUGCGGACAGUGUCUGGUGGGUAGUUUGACUGGGGCGGUCUCCUCCUAAAGAGUAACGGAGGAGCACGAAGGUUGGCUAAUCCUGGUCGGACAUCAGGAGGUUAGUGCAAUGGCAUAAGCCAGCUUGACUGCGAGCGUGACGGCGCGAGCAGGUGCGAAAGCAGGUCAUAGUGAUCCGGUGGUUCUGAAUGGAAGGGCCAUCGCUCAACGGAUAAAAGGUACUCCGGGGAUAACAGGCUGAUACCGCCCAAGAGUUCAUAUCGACGGCGGUGUUUGGCACCUCGAUGUCGGCUCAUCACAUCCUGGGGCUGAAGUAGGUCCCAAGGGUAUGGCUGUUCGCCAUUUAAAGUGGUACGCGAGCUGGGUUUAGAACGUCGUGAGACAGUUCGGUCCCUAUCUGCCGUGGGCGCUGGAAGACUGAGGGGGGCUGCUCCUAGUACGAGAGGACCGGAGUGGACGCAUCACUGGUGUUCGGGUUGUCAUGCCAAUGGCACUGCCCGGUAGCUAAAUGCGGAAAAGAUAAGUGCUGAAAGCAUCUAAGCACGAAACUUGCCCC